rnacentral:lncRNA from 1 species
GUAGGUAGAAAAUUCAUCAUUUUAUACAAGGACUAUGGAGUUAAAUUUUCGUUGGUUGCUUUCGACUUUCACCAUUUGGCCAGCUCUAUCUUUCACACCUCUUCCUCUGUGACAAAGGGAUGAAGCUAUUGGUUUUCAAAUUUGAAAUAAAGGCCUGAAUUUGGCACCAACGCUCCAACGCAAAUUUGAUACAUCAAGGUUAGCUUUUACAUAGCUUUUGUUACUGAAAAUAUAUCAGAGAAGCACUUCCGAAUCAAUUAUCGGUGUUUAAAAUAUAUUUUUAGAUAUCAUGGAGCAUACAUAAUCCCGGCAUCAACUUUUGUGCAGCGCUUGAUAUAUGUUUAUAAUCAUUUGCAAGACUGCGUUAAGAAAAUGAUGUGAAAUAUUUAGAUUGGUACGCUGCGAGUGGGCUGGAAUGACAUGUUUCGUCUCUCUAUAUUGUCAUAGUGGUGGAGGUACAUGCAGAUUUGACGCCAUUUUUACAUAUUUGCAUAUCAAUGGUCAAUAUUUUUUUCUGUUUUCCUACUGACAUUUACAUACUACUUUGCGUUUUAAAAGCUACAAACAGUUUUCUCUGUGCAGACCAUGAAGAGAUGCAUCUCAGAGGACAAGCAAUGCCAUGUUUUCAUUGUACUGAAAAUACUUAGUUUCCUGGUCAAUUUUGUUAGUAAUCUAUAUAUAUCUAUAUUUCUUAUUGAUUUUCUCUGUGCAUACCAUAAAGGGAUGCCUCCCGGGACAAGCAUUGUCGUAUUUUUCAUUGUACUAAAAAACAUAAUUUCCUGGUCAUUUUUGUUAUUAAUCUGUACAUAACUAUAUUUAUUAUUACGAGGUGAAAAUAUUCUGAGGAUG